rnacentral:rRNA from 1 species
GCUUACGGCCAUACCACCCUGAACGCGCCCGAUCUCGUCUGAUCUCGGAAGCCAGCAGGGUCGGGCCUGGUCAGUACUUGGACGGGAGACCGCCUGGGAAUACCAGGUGCUGUAAGCU